GAAAAAGUGGCUCAGUCGGUUAGAGGUACGGCUACCACCCACAAGACCGGGGUUCGACCCCCGCCGUGGCU